rnacentral:lncRNA from 1 species
UCCAACACUGCAGUCGUGAGUGCCUGGAGCGCUUGCAAUGAACCGUAGCAGGACGUGGGCGUGUCGAAUGAUACGACACCAACGACUGACGAAUCAGGACCCUCUGCAGCACCGGGCUGAAGUGUGAAGCACCUUAAGCGGGCACAGCGUCGGCGUCCAACGACGCGUCCUGCAGCCACGUUGCGUCGUCGUCGGUGAAGCUGAGGGAAUCGAAGAG